rnacentral:rRNA from 1 species
AAUCCAGAGAUGGAUUUGUGCCUUCGGGAACUGUGAGACAGGUGCUGCAUGGCUGUCGUCAGCUCGUGUUGUGAAAUGUUGGGUUAAGUCCCGCAACGAGCGCAACCCUUAUCCUUUGUUGCCAGCGGUCCGGCCGGGAACUCAAAGGAGACUGCCAGUGAUAAACUGGAGGAAGGUGGGGAUGACGUCAAGUCAUCAUGGCCCUUACGACCAGGGCUACACACGUGCUACAAUGGCGCAUACAAAGAGAAGCGACCUCGCGAGAGCAAGCGGACCUCAUAAAGUGCGUCGUAGUCCGGAUUGGAGUCUGCAACUCGACUCCAUGAAGUCGGAAUCGCUAGUAAUCGUGGAUCAGAAUGCCACGGUGAAUACGUUCCCGGGCCUUGUACACACCGCCCGUCACACCAUGGGAGUGGGUUGCAAAAGAAGUAGGUAGCUUAACCUUCGGGAGGGCGCUUACCACUUUGUGAUUCAUGACUGGGGUGAAGUCGUAACAAGGUAACCGUAGGGGAACCUGCGGUUGGAUCACCUCCUUACCUGAAAGAA